UCCCUGGUGGUCCAGUCGCUAAGACUCUGCACUCCCAAUGCAGUGGACCUGGGUUAGAUCCCUGGUCAGGGAA
rnacentral:tRNA from 1 species